rnacentral:misc_RNA from 1 species
UAGAGCAGAGAGGGAAGAAAGAAUCAAUCAAAUCAUUCAGGCCCGAAAACAAGAGAGGGAGGCUAAGAGGAAGAAAAUAUUCUAUGUGAGGACUGAAGAAGAAAGACUGAGAAAGUUGCGAGAAGAGGAGGAAGCUCGCAAGCAUGAAGAGGCUGAGAGACGAAGGAAAGAAGAAACUGAACGUAAGUCAAAAUUAGAUGAGAUUG